UACGGGGGGGGCAAGCGUUGUUCGGAAUUACUGGGCGUAAAGGGCUCGUAGGUGGUCAACUAAGUCGGACGUGAAAUCCCUCGGCUUAACCGGGGAACUGCGUCCGAUACUGGAUGACUUGAGUUCGGGAGAGGGAUGCGGAAUUCCAGGUGUAGCGGUGAAAUGCGUAGAUAUCUGGAGGAACACCGGUGGCGAAGGCGGCAUCCUGGACCACGACUGACGCUGAGUGAGCGAAAGCCAGGGGAGCAAACGGG
rnacentral:rRNA from 1 species